AUAUAAAAGCAAAUUUUUAAGUAAUUUAUUUUGCUUUUAACAGCAAUAACAUAGAUGCCGCAAUAGAAAACAUUGAAAAUAUGCUUACUUCAGAGAAUAAAGUCAUUGAACCCCAAUACUUCGGCUUGGCAUACUUAUUCAGAAAAGUAAUAGAGGAGCAGUUGGAACCAGCAGUUGAAAAGAUAAGCAUCAUGGCAGAGAGAUUGGCCAAUCAGUUUGCAAUUUAUAAACCUGUCACUGAUUUUUUCCUUCAACUUGUGGAUGCAGGCAAGGUGGAUGAUGCCAGAGCUCUCCUACAGAGAUGUGGUGCAAUUGCUGAACAAACCCCGAUUUUGUUGUUGUUCCUCCUUAGGAAUUCUAGGAAACAAGGAAAGGUACUGUGCUUUACUUGCUUACAAAUCAGUGAUACUGUACGUGCCUUGCUCAGAAGUAUUGAAUUUAACAUAAAAGCCUGUUGUUUCAGGACCUUAUUUGAGAAUACUAUAGAGAUUCAAGACUUUGCUUGUCUCUACUUAGAGUGAGUUUUGUCGUCUGUUAGCUGUACUGGAAAUGUAAAACAAGUUC
rnacentral:sRNA from 1 species